UGCUUCCCCUUUUUCCUUUCUUUUAACCCCGCUUCUUCCCUUCCCUUUCUCCCGUUUAUUCUUAAUUUCCUAAAAACAAACAAAACUGCUCCAGACGCAAUCAGGUGGCGGUGGCAGAGCGAAGGUCUCCCCAAUUCCGUCCUCAGGCGUUGGGAAUCAAGCCACACCCUCGAGGGAUCCUGCCCCGCGCGCUCCCAGACCCGGUGACCCCGGCCGGCGGCCGCCGACUCAACGCCGCGGUGGGCUCUCGGCUGCCGGAAAGGUCAACGCGGUGGCAUCCCUCUCUGGGCGCUGUUUACGUGACUUAAUGUACUUCUUACGCGGCGCUUGUUAUCUGGGCCACCCAAUGACCGACGAAAGAUCUUCCCUCCCCACGUCUCCCAUCGCCGCUUUAAACCAAAUAAAUUUAGCUAUUAAGGGCCAAGAUGUCUGACAAAAGAUCGAAAGGUGUCUCUCUGGGAUCGCUUAAAGAAGCGGAGCUGGCGGCUCUCGGAUCCCGAUAAAGACAUUCCACGCCGGCGCCGGGCUCCCUCCCCAGCCUGCUUGCGUCCCACACCCUGCGAUCAGGACCUCAAAGGUCCACUGGGACCUGUGGCUACAAUUGAGGCGAUGUCUAGGUGUCUAGGGUCCCAGGCCUGGAGAUGCUAGGCCUUGGGAGGGGGUCACUGAGGUCCCUGGAGCAGUGGGACCUAAAACAUUCCUGAGAAGCUUGCGGAAGAACCAAGGCCAAGGAAACCCAAAGUAGCUUUAAAUUUGCCCCUCCCCCAACCCUUUCCCUUUGAGACAAAUUCUCUCAUGAUGUAUGGCAGGCUGGCCUCAAACUCAUGAUCCUCAAGCCUCAGGCCUGUGGAGUAUUGGAAUUACAAGUGUAGUCUUGUCCUGUCGUUUUUUAUUAUUUUCUAAUACUAAGUAAUAAAUGCAAACCCUAAUCA